GGAAAUUCAAAUAUAAACGUCCCUAAAAGCCACACGCGAAACUCAGAGUGUCCCCGGCCACCGCGGGCGUGGUAACCUUAUCCCCCGCUCCGCUGGAGGGCUCGGGAAACGGCCUGGAGGCCGGGACGCUGUGGAAUUACGUAAUAGGCACUUGAGUCCGAGGUUCCAAAUGCACGGCUUGCAGGUUCCAAGUACCAGCCUUUAUUUUUCUCUCCGGUGGAAAACUGUAUCAGGCAACUUCUUUCCAUGAAAGUGAGAUCUGUGCGUCUUGAAGCCGAUAGAUUAUCACAGAAAAACCAGCAACCCUGAUUUUAAAUCAUUUGCCAACAGUGUUAAUGGGCGGUUCCUAAUCCGUUUCUUAAUUUAAGGGUUUGUAAAAUCAAAAAACAGCUCAGAAAUGAUACGAUUAACAUAUGACGGUGAGUAACUACGAGAGCAAGCUGUUUCAUACUCCGUUAAAAUCAGGUACAUAAAAAUCUGAACUUGUGAAAAUUUAAGAUGAAAUAAUUUUUUGCUUUUAAAAAGAGGCUCCCAAGAUGUCACUGGCAGCUACUUCUAUUAGAAAGCACAUUCAUCCCUUUGAAAAGUUCCUAAUUUUUAGCUAACAUUUAUUGGGACUGAGUGCCAGCACCAGGCUUUUCAUGGAUUACCCAUCCACACAAUCUCCGUGUGAUGUGGGAAACUGGAUUGUUUCUAUUUGAAAAUUCAUCCGGGCGGGCGCGGUGGCUCACGCCUAUAAUCCCAACACUUUGGGAGGCCGAGUGGGGGAGGAUCACCUGAGCUCAGGAGUUCAAGACCAGCCUGACCAACAUGGUGAAACCCCGUCUCUACAAAAAUACAAAAAUUAGCCGGGCAUGAUGGCGGGUGCCUGUAAUCUCAGCUACUUGGAAGGCUGAGGUGGGAGAAUCCCUUGAACCCGGAAAGGGGAAGUUGCAGUGAGCCGAGAUGGCACCAUUACACUCCAGCCUGGGUGACAGGGAGACCCCGUCUCAAAAAAGAAAGAAAGAAACCAUCCAUUUUAUAGAUUCACUGUCUGAAGGCUGCUCCGCAGGACUGCGUUUGACAGGUCCCAGGAUUCUAAUUGACUCGAGUCUGGCCCUUAGCUAUACCCUAGAUGACCACCUUACCACCUAUUAGGAACGCUUCUGUAAUUAAUGGUUACUUACUUUUAAAAUGGCAGAAAUGGAGACCAGGAUAUUCUUUAACUGUUAAUCAAGUCAUGUACAUAAGAAUUAGUGAAGAGCACUGGGAGCUGCAUAUUCAUCCCAGAUGAAUUUUUGGCACUCUGUGAAUGAUGACAUUCUCCUUAUUAAUGGUUCUAUUUCCUGUCCGGUUUCCUAAAAUACUUCCUUGCUUUUUGGGGGGUGGGGGGGUGGGGGGGAGGAUGGCAGGGAGACGGAGUCUUGCUCUGUCGCCCAGGCUGGAGUGCAAUGGCACAAUCUCAGCUCACUGCAACUUCCACCUCCCGGGUUCAAGCGAUUCUCCUGCCUCAGCCUCCUGAGUAGCUGGGACCAACGCCACCAUACCCGGCUAAUUUUUUGUAUUUUAGUAGAGACUGGGCUUCACCGUGUUGCCCAGGCUGGCCUCGAACUCCUGAUCUCAGGCAAUCCGCCCGCCUCGGCCUCCCAAAGUGCUAGAAUUACAGGCGUGAGCCACCGCGCCUGGCCAUGAAAUACUUCCUUUCUUAACCUCAUUGAGAAAUAAAGAAUCGAAAAGCUUAGACUUUAAGUAUUCAAGUAAUCUUAAAGGGAACUUUAAAAUCUAAAUUACUGAUGAGAAAACCGGCCGGGUGUGGUGGCUCAGCCUGUAAUCCCAGCACUUUGGGAGGCCGAGGUGGGCAGAUCACUUGAGGUCGG
rnacentral:lncRNA from 10 species